GGAAUAUUGGACAAUGGGCGCAAGCCUGAUCCAGCCAUGCCGCGUGCAGGAUGACGGUCCUAUGGAUUGUAAACUGCUUUUAUACGAGAAGAAACACUAGUUCGUGAACUAGCUUGACGGUAUCGUAAGAAUAAGGAUCGGCUAACUCCGUGCCAGCAGCCGCGGUAAUACGGAGGAUCCAAGCGUUAUCCGGAAUCAUUGGGUUUAAAGGGUCCGUAGGCGGUCAGAUAAGUCAGUGGUGAAAGCCCAUCGCUCAACGGUGGAACGGCCAUUGAUACUGUCUGACUUGAAUUAUUAGGAAGUAACUAGAAUAUGUAGUGUAGCGGUGAAAUGCUUAGAGAUUACAUGGAAUACCAAUUGCGAAGGCAGGUUACUACUAAUGGAUUGACGCUGAUGGACGAAAGCGUGGGUAGCGAACAGGAUUAGAUACCCUGG
rnacentral:rRNA from 1 species